GGGAGUUCUGGAGCGUGCUGCGGGUGCAUUAGCAAAUUUGGCGGCAGAUGACAAAUGUAGCAUGGAAGUAGCAGCAGUAGGUGGUGUACAUGCUUUAGUAAAGCUUGCUCAGGAAUGCAAAGCUGAAGGAGUUCAAGAGCAGGCUGCCCGGGCACUUGCAAAUCUUGCAGCUCAUGGAGAUAGCAAUAGUAACAAUGCAGCAGUUGGACAAGAGGCAGGAGCUCUUGAAGCACUUGUGCAACUUAUUCGAUCUCCUCAUGAUGGAGUCAGGCAAGAAGCUGCUGGAGCAUUGUGGAAUCUGUCAUUUGAUGACAGAAAUCGUGAAGC
rnacentral:misc_RNA from 1 species